rnacentral:rRNA from 1 species
GCGGCGAGUGGCGAACGGGUGAGUAAUAUAUCGGAACGUACCCAGAAGCGGGGGAUAACGUAGCGAAAGUUACGCUAAUACCGCAUACGAUCUACGGAUGAAAGUGGGGGACCUUCGGGCCUCAUGCUUUUGGAGCGGCCGAUAUCUGAUUAGCUAGUUGGUGAGGUAAAGGCUCACCAAGGCGACGAUCAGUAGCUGGUCUGAGAGGACGACCAGCCACACUGGGACUGAGACACGGCCCAGACUCCUACGGGAGGCAGCAGUGGGGAAUUUUGGACAAUGGGCGCAAGCCUGAUCCAGCAAUGCCGCGUGAGUGAA